rnacentral:tRNA from 1 species
CCGGAGCGGGGGAGACGGCAACCCGCGCGCCUUGGGAGCGUGAGACACCCCGUUCGACUCGGGGGCUCCGGAC